AUCCAUGGUCGAAGAAUCGUCUGUCAUCGAAGCUUGCACAAGGAGUCCAACAGAUUUUUAAUGAUGUGUCGGAUUCACAAAAGCUUUGGGUCGAAAGUCUCCCACCUGAUCGUAUGCGGAAAACGUAAUGAGAUUUAAAAAUUUGUUAAAAUGUUUAAAUCAACUCAUUUAAGGUAUUCUUCGGAAUAUUUUACCAUGUCCUGGGGUUUUGUUAAAAUCCUGGUUGUAUCUUUUCGGUACUGAAAUCCUUUGUAUAGGUUUCAAACCAUAGUUAUGACGAUUGCGUUAUCUUUAUUUAUUAUUGGUAACGUAACCCAAUGGAGCUUACUCUCUCGACCAAUGGA
rfam:Candida glabrata strain CBS138 chromosome M complete sequence.